CAAAGGUUAAGCUACUAAGAGCGCACGGAGGAUGCCUAGGCGCUAGGAGCCGAAGAAGGACGUGGCGAACGACGAAAUGCCUCGGGGAGCCGUAAGCAGGCUUUGAUCCGGGGAUGUCCGAAUGGGGAAACCCGGCUGGAGUAAUGUCCAGUCACUCAUAACUGAAUACAUAGGUUAUGUAGAGGCAGACCAGGGGAACUGAAACAUCUAAGUACCCUGAGGAAGAGAAAACAAUAGUGAUUCCGUCAGUAGCGGCGAGCGAACGCGGAUUAGCCCAAACCAAGGAGCUUGCUUCUUGGGGUUGUAGGGCGUCUCACAUGGAGUUACAAAGGUGUUGGUUAGGCGAAGAGGUCUGGAAAGGCCCGCUAGAAGAGGUAAAAGCCCUGUA
rnacentral:rRNA from 1 species